AGAACAAUGCCUUUUCUCAUGUUUAUUUUCUAAGCCAGGAAAUUUCAAGUUUCAGGUCAAAUAGCAGAGUUGGGAAAAGAGCUAAAUUGGAGAAUGUUUGCAGUUCAGCUAUAUUGGACUAAAAUUCCCAGCAAUUCACAGUUUGGUCAGUAUUGCUAUAUUGUUUGUUUACCCUAUUGAUAUCUGAAACAUUAUCUUUGAAAUGAAAAUUAUUAUAAUAAAAGAAUCGAUACACUAAACAUCAAAUUGGAAUAUUUUAAAACUGAAUUGCUAGCAGUGAUUAUAGCUUUGGUAAAAAGGACACUAUAGUCACCACAACAACUACAGCUUAUUGUAUUUGUUUUUGUAAGUAGAAUCAUUCCUUUCAGGCUUUUUGUAGCAAACACUUAUUUUUCAAAGAAAAUGCAGUGUUUACAUUACAGCAUGGGGAUACCUCGACAGAUAAUUACUAGAGGUGCUUCAUGGGGGCAGUGCUGCAUACUGUGCAGCACUGCCAGUCAGUGUCUUCGCCCUCUCCAUGCAGACACUGAACUUUCCUCAUAGAGAUUCAUUGAUUCAAUUCAUCUCUUUGAGGAGAUGCGGAUUGGCCAGGGCUGUGUUUGGCUAGUGCUGCCCUCUCCUGAUCUGCCUCUGACAGUCUCAGCCAAUCCAGUGCUUUUCUAUGGGAAAACAAGCAUUGUGAUUGGCUCAGAUCACCACUUCUGAUAAUGUCAACCAAGCAGGCAGAAAAGGGGCAGAGUCAGCACCAGCAGACUGGAGCAAAAAUAAGAUGUUACUAUAUUUAGGGGGGCAAGGGAGGGGAGGGUGCAGGGAGGCUAGAUAGUGAUUUUAACACUAUAGGGUCAGGAAUACAUGUUUGUGUUCCUGACCAUAUAGUGUUCCUUUAAUAUUUUAUUCAAAUUUUGCUGUUACAGCAUCAAUUUUGCUUUUCAG